rnacentral:rRNA from 1 species
UACGAAGGGUGCAAGCGUUAAUCGGAAUUACUGGGCGUAAAGCGCGCGUAGGUGGUUCAGUAAGUUGGAAGUGAAAUCCCCGGGCUCAACCUGGGAACUGCAUCCAAAACUGCUGAGCUAGAGUACGGUAGAGGGUGGUGGAAUUUCCUGUGUAGCGGUGAAAUGCGUAGAUAUAGGAAGGAACACCAGUGGCGAAGGCGACCACCUGGACUGAUACUGACACUGAGGUGCGAAAGCGUGGGGAGCAAACAGG